UUACGGUCAAAUCACGUUAAAACACCGGGUCUCGUACGAUCACCGAAGUUAAGCAACAUCGAGCCUGGUCAUUACCUAGAUGGUUGACCGCUUGAGAAUAGCAAG